rnacentral:rRNA from 1 species
CAGCAGCCACGGUAAUACGUAGGUGGCAAGCGUUGUCCGGAAUUAUUAGGCGUAAAGCGCGCGCAGGUGGUUUAAUAAGUCUGAUGUGAAAGCCCACGGCUCCACCGUGGAGGGUCAUUGGAAACUGUUAAACUUGAGUGCAGGAGAGAAAAGUGGAAUUCCUAGUGUAGCGGUGAAAUGCGUAGAGAUUAGGAGGAACACCAGUGGCGAAGGCGGCUUUUUGGCCUGUAACUGACACUGAGGCGCGAAAGCGUGGGGAGCAAACAGGAUUAGAUACCCGCGUAGUCCCUGUCUCUUAUAC